UUAAGUCUUAAAAAAUUAUUAGUAGAGUAUUAAUAGUUAUUUUCUUUAAAAUCAAAAAAAUUGGCGGUAUUUUAUCUAAUUAGGGGAAUUUGUUUAUUAAAUGAUAAUCCGCGAGAAAUCUUACUUUUUUUAUUAAUAUAUGUACUUCCGUUAUCAGAAUAUUUUAAAUUAAUAUAUAAUUUUCAAGAUUUUUAAUAAAAAUUAUUUCAGGUCAAAGUGUAGUUUAUAAAAAAGUUUAAAUGAAUUACAAUAAAUUUAUUUAUUAUGGAUUUUAAAUUGAAAUAUUUAAAUGAAGGUGGACUUAAUAGUAAAAUAAAAUUAUUAUGUUUAUUUGAAAAAAGAUCUAAAAUAUGU
rnacentral:rRNA from 1 species